ACCGUGAAAGCGUGGCCU
rnacentral:snRNA from 1 species